CAAUCGGUGGAUGCCUAGGCACCAAGAGCCGAAGAAGGACGUAGGAACCUGCGAUAAGCCCCGGGGAGCUGGUAACCAAGCUCUGAUCCGGGGAUCUCCGAAUAGGGAAACCCUGAAAAUACCGGAGUCAUGUCCGGCAACCUCUGCCUGAACACAUAGGGCAGCUGGAGGGAACGUGGGGAAGUGAAACAUCUCAGUACCCACAGGAAAAGAAAACAACCGUGAUUCCGUAAGUAGUGGCGAGCGAAAGCGGAACAGGCCAAACCGUAUGUGUGUGAUAGCUGACAGGCGUUGCACAUACGGGGUAGUGGGGCCGCUCCGGCCGGGCUGUUAACCGGUCAAGGAGUCAAAAAUGAUCAAUGAAGUAGAAACACUCUGGGAAGUUGUGGCACAGAAGGUGAAACCCCUGUACACGUAAGUUGAUCACUCCUGAGCGAUACCCCAAGUAAUGCGGAACCCCUGAAAUUCCGCAUGAAUCUGGC
rnacentral:rRNA from 1 species